rnacentral:rRNA from 1 species
GACGUAGGGCGCGAGCGUUGUCCGGAUUUAUUGGGCGUAAAGAGCUCGUAGGCGGCCUGAUAAGUAGGGGGUGAAAUCUUGCGGCUUAACCGCAAGGCUGCCUUCUAAACUGUCAGGCUAGAGCACAGUAGAGGCAGGGUGGAAUUCCCGGUGUAGCGGUGGAAUGCGUAGAGAUCGGGAAGAACAUCAGUGGCGAAGGCGGCCUGCUGGGCUGUUGCUGACGCUGAGGCGCGACAGGCGUGGGGAGCAAACAGGG